rnacentral:rRNA from 1 species
GACGAACGCUGGCGGCGUGCUUAACACAUGCAAGUCGAGCGAUGAAGCACCUUCGGGUGUGAAUUAGCGGCGAACGGGUGAGGAACACGUGAGAAAUCUGCCUUCAACUCUGGGAUAACUCCGGGAAACCGGGGCUAAUACCGGAUAUGAGCCUUGUUCGCAUGAUCGGGGCUGGAAAGUUUUUCGGUUGAAGAUGAUCUCGCGGCCUAUCAGCUUGUUGGUGAGGUAAUGGCUCACCAAGGCGGCGACGGGUAGCCGGCCUGAGAGGGCGACCGGCGACACUGGGACUGAGACACGGCCCAGACUCCUACGGGAGGCAGCAGUGGGGAAUAUUGGGCAAUGGAGGAAACUCUGACCCAGCGACGCCGCGUGAGGGAUGAAGGCCUUCGGGUUGUAAACCUCUUUCAGUAGGGAAGAAGCGAAAGUGACGGUACCUACAGAAGAAGCACCGGCUAACUAUGUGCCAGCAGCCGCAGUAA